UACGUAGGGUGCGAGCGUUAAUCGGAAUUACUGGGCGUAAAGCGUGCGCAGGCGGUUUUGUAAGCCAGAUGUGAAAUCCCCGGGCUUAACCUGGGAAUGGCAUUUGGGACUGCAAGGCUGGAGUGUGGCAGAGGAGACGUGGAAUUCCUGGUGUAGCAGUGAAAUGCGUAGAUAUCAGGAGGAAUACCGAUGGCGAAGGCAGGUCUCUGGGCUGACACUGACGCUCAUGCACGAAAGCGUGGGGAGCAAACAGG
rnacentral:rRNA from 1 species